UACGAAGGGGGCUAGCGUUGCUCGGAAUCACUGGGCGUAAAGCGCACGUAGUCGGUUUGCUAAGUCAGGUGUGAAAUCCUGGAGCUCAACUCCAGAACUGCCUUUGAUACUGGCGAUCUCGAGUCCGGGAGAGGUGAGUGGAACUGCGAGUGUAGAGGUGAAAUUCGUAGAUAUUCGCAAGAACACCAGUGGCGAAGGCGGCUCACUGGCCCGGUACUGACGCUGAGGUGCGAAAGCGUGGGGAGCAAACAGG
rnacentral:rRNA from 1 species